GGGGCGCCGCGGUCCUGUCUGUGGUGCUGAAGGAGGGGCGGGCGAGGCUCACUUGUAAGCGCCACCACUUCCAAAAACAGCUUAAGAAACCACUGGGAUGAGUGGGGGCGGGGUGGCGUCAGCCAGAGCAGGCUCUGACGGGGCCGCAGGUGCACUUGCCUCUAAGGCACUUUUAUCCUUGGAGGAAUGGGGUACCUGCGAAUUUCCUCCGCGGCAAGUGUUGUGGGCUAAUACCCCCUUCUGUGAGGUUGCUGCUGCUCUUCCUCAGACUAAGAGUCUCUGACUCCCACAAUGCUGGCCCCAAAGCAUUCUGUAGAGCAGCAGAGCCAGAAAUCCUGCUUGUCCUCAGAAUAGUCCCCUUCCAGUUUCCUUCCCACUAAGGGCUUGCUUGCCGUCCCACCCUCCUUACUUUCUGACUCCCAUGGACCUACAGGCCUCUCUCUGAGCCUCUUGACCCAACCUGAGCCUUGGGCCUGGGGAACAAACACUCUACAAGUCUCAAACCCUGAUGACCCUGCCCAGUAUGGACAGCUGACUCCAGAGAAACCCCUCCCACACUUUCCUCACUGCCGUGCUGGAGACCCACAUUUCAUUUCUGUGUCCAGCCCAUGGACUGGGAGCCAAGUGGUCCCAGGUACCAGGCAUGUUGGUAAUCCCUGGCCUACUCUUAUAGCUCCAUGUGGUGGCCUUCCUUUGUACACAUAUCCUGCAGUAACUGCCAUUUCCAUGGUGACAACAGCCCAGAAACGUGCCACCCCCUCCAAGCCUGACUGACCAGCCAGACCAGCUCCCCCUGGCACCUGUGGACACAUGCCAGCCAAGGUGAGAGGCAGGCAAGGAAGCCUUCCUGGACAGACCCUUCGCUCACAGCCAGGUUCCUGUUCAGGCUGAAUGUAUAGGUGUCCUGACUUCCAACCCAAGCAUCCAUUACUGCGCCCCCUCCAGCUUCCCAUUUAGGAGUCCUGUGGACCUCUAGGUACCAGCCUGCUUGACCACUCCACCGCUAAUAUCUGCCGUGAAAGACAGGGCUGACUGGGCUAAGCACAGCUAGUCUUCUAAAAAGGCCUCAAGGGUGCCCGGCCACAAUGAGAGUGGAUAGGAGUAGGCCCCCUCCCGGGGCAAUCCUGGCUGGAUGCCCAGGGCGAGAAGGGGAUGGAGAGGGCCGGGUAAGAGUUCCUAAUUGCUGCUUCUGUCCUACCUCCUCUGCUGGGUCCCUGGAUGAUGAAGGAGGGCUAUGGGGCUGUUGUGAGCCUGGCAGGAAGGCACACGGGCCAAUGACAAACAGUAACCUUGACCUCCACACCUGAGGCUGUAACAGGAUCGCAUGGGCAGGCACAGAAAGGCACCUCUGGACACACACCAGCCAAGGGAAGAGGUAGGUAGAGGCUUCCACAGUGCCUUUUGGGACAGGGUCCCUCCUUUCUCAGCUAGGAUGGACUCAUUUGUGUCCUGGUAGAUGGUGUGGUGUGGAGCAGGUCAGCAGCUCUCUUCUCUAGGGCCCCAACAAGAUAAGAAAUACAGUGGAAUUCUAUCUUCACGUGUCCUGUCAUCCAGGGCAGGGUCACAGAUCUACCGUGGGAACCUAUGGCCAGGAAUGGUAAGGCCUGGAAUGGAGGCUCUGAGCUACGUCCAGGUCGUCAAGUCAGCACCAGUCUCUCGGGUCACUGCCUGACCAUUGUAGAAUGGGUCCUACCUGUUUUUCUCAUUAAAAGGCUUCAGGAUAGUGUAGAUUACUUUCCUGGGCCCAUGAACCACCA
rnacentral:lncRNA from 1 species